rnacentral:rRNA from 1 species
UACGUAGGCAGCGAGCGUUGUUCGGAGUUACUGGGCGUAAAGCGUGCGUAGGCGGUGUCUUAAGUUUGUUGUGAAAUCUCCCGGCUUAACCGGGAGGGAUGCGGCGAAUACUGAGAUGCUGGAGUGCCGGAGAGGUAAGGCGGAAUUCCUGGUGUAGCGGUGAAAUGCGUAGAUAUCAGGAGGAACACCUGCGGUGUAGAGCGGCUUACUGGACGGUAACUGACGCUGAGGCACGAAAGCGUGGGUAGCAAACAGG